rnacentral:tRNA from 1 species
GGCCCGCUCGUCUAUCGGACAGGAUGCAGCCCUUUCAAGGCUGAGAGACGGGUUCGACUCCCGUGCGGGCUACCA